rnacentral:rRNA from 1 species
AACGUAGGAGGCAAGCGUUAUCCGGAGUUACUGGGCGUAAAGGGCGUGCAGGUGGUUCAGUAAGUUGGUUAUGAAAGCUCCUGGCUAAACUGGGAGAGGUUGACCAAGACUGCUGAACUUGAGUGGAUGAGAGGUAAACGGAAUUCCGCGUGUAGUGGUGAAAUGCGUAGAGAUGCGGAGGAACACCAGUGGCGAAGGCGGUUUACUGGCAUCCAACUGACACUGAGACGCGAAAGCAUGGGUAGCGAACGGG